GCCGCCCGCCUCCCCGCGCCGGCAGGGAGCGACGGGGGAGCCCGGCUGGCGUUCCGGCGCGGAGCCGCGGCGGGGUGUCCGCCGCCUGGCCGGGAGGGGGCGGUGGAGCCGGUGUCGCGCCGCCGCCGCGCUCCUCAGCCCCGGCUCCUGUCGUGCCGUGCGCCCACCGUGGGGCUGAGGCGGCAGCGACCCCAGCCUGGGGCGUGAGCGGGGGCGGUGUUUCGGGGAGGCCUCGCAUUUAUGGCUGUCUGUAUCCGGUGAGCCCCGCGCAGCGCUGUGCCCCUCAGCGAUGGCAGCGGUGCUUUCGCUUUCCCUGCGGUGUGUGGCUGCUCGGCCCCAAGCGGCAGCGGGGGCUCAUGGCCUGGGAUCCUCGGCCCGGGAAUAAGCCGGAAUCCCGCUUUUGUGUGUAACAUGUACGUGUGCGCUGAUCAUCACAAAUAAGCGUGUCUGAUACACGGCUUGUGCCAGGAAGCUUCGGACAGUGCUGAAGUCUCGUGCCUAAGUGGAUUUGUUUAACCUCAGCAACUCAUUCCUGCUUCAGAAACCUUUUCCAUGGAUCAUGAACUACCUUACCAGGCUGGACUGUCUUGAACACCAUCUCAGAGAGAACUAAGCUCUCUCUCACAUGGAGAGAUAGUGAUACUGUUAUUAGAAAAAAUGAAAUGUGCUCAGAUGAAAAUAACCAAAUCAGAACUGUCAGAAUGAUGUGCGCAUGUAGCAUUCUCAAGAAGUGGUCAGCAGUUGCACAGAAGAAUUGACACUACAGUCUGUAAUUUAUUGCAAAAUAAAAUUUGUAUGUGUUUAAGGGUUUGUAAGUCAACAUGUUACCUGCAUAGAGAAAGGAAUUUGAGCAAAAAGGAGCUACUGAUUUUGUGCCAUUCUUCCAAACCUCUGCAAAUUCUUCGUGGCUGAUAAAGGAUAACCAAGCAUGCUUAUAACCAUGUUUUAAUAGGGUUUUGUGUCUGUUAUCCUGUUGCAAGAAAUAGGUGCUGCUUACCAUUGUGAAGUGGUAUGUGUAUCAAUAAAAUCUCGCUCAAGGCACA